rnacentral:rRNA from 1 species
UUUGAGAAUAAUUUAAAGUAGGGCCUGCCCACUGAAUUAUUGAAGGGCCGCAGUAUUUUGACUGUGCAAAGGUAGCAUAAUCAUUAGUUUUUUAAUUGAAAACUUGUAUGAAUGGUUUGAUGAGAAAACAGCUUUCUUUAUUUAAAUGUUAAAGAAUUUUAUUUUUAAGUUAAAAAGCUUAAAUAUUUUUAAUAGACGAGAAGACCCUAUAGAGUUUUAUUUUUUUAUAUAAUUAAAUCUUUAGAAUUUUAAAAUUUUAUUAUAUGAAAAAAUUUGAUUGGGGUGAUUGAAAAAUUAAAUUAACUUUUAUUUUUAUUAAACAUUAAUUUAUGAAUAGAUGAUCCA